UAAGUAGGGGGCAAGCGUGGUCCGGAACUAUUGGUUGUAAAGCGCGCGCAGGCGGUCUCUUAAGUCUGAUGUGAAAGCCCACGGCUCAACCGUGGAGGGUCAUCGGAAACUGGGAGACUUGAGUGUAGGAGAGGAAAGUGGAAUUCCACGUGUAGCGGUGAAAUGCGUAGAGAUGUGGAGGAACACCAGUGGCGAAGGCGACUUUCUGGCCUAUAACUGACGCUGAGGCGCGAAAGCGUGGGGAGCAAACAGG
rnacentral:misc_RNA from 1 species